rnacentral:rRNA from 1 species
UGGCGGAAUGCUUUACACAUGCAAGUCGGGCGGCAGCGCGGGGGCAACCCUGGCGGCGAGCGGCGAACGGGUGAGUAACACAUCGGAACGUACCCUGUCGUGGGGGAUAACGAAUCGAAAGAUUCGCUAAUACCGCAUACGACCUGAGGGUGAAAGCGGGGGAUCGCAAGACCUCGCGCGAGAGGAGCGGCCGAUGGCGGAUUAGCUAGUUGGUGGGGUAAAGGCCCACCAAGGCGACGAUCCGUAGCGGGUCUGAGAGGACGGCCCGCCACACUGGGACUGAGACACGGCCCAGACUCCUACGGGAGGCAGCAGUGGGGAAUUUUGGACAAUGGGGGCAACCCUGAUCCAGCCAUUCCGCGUGAGUGAAGAAGGCCUUCGGGUUGUAAAGCUC